rnacentral:rRNA from 1 species
GCAUACAAUAAGCGGAGGAAAAGAAACCAACAGGGAUUGCCCUAGUAACGGCGAAGUGAAGCGGCAACAGCUCAAAUUUGAAAUCUGGCUUUCGGGCCCGAGUUGUAAUUUGUAGAGGAUGAUUUUGAUGCGGUGCCUUCCGAGUUCCCUGGAACGGGACGCCAUAGAGGGUGAGAGCCCCGUCUGGUUGGAUGCCAAAUCUCUGUAAAUCUCCUUCGACGAGUCGAGUAGUUUGGGAAUGCUGCUCUAAAUGGGAGGUAUAUGUCUUCUAAAGCUAAAUACCGGCCAGAGACCGAUAGCGCACAAGUAGAGUGAUCGAAAGAUGAAAAGCACUUUGAAAAGAGAGUUAAAAAGUACGUGAAAUUGUUGAAAGGGAAGCGUUUAUGACCAGACUUGGGCUUGGUUAAUCAUCUGGGGUUCUCUCCAGUGCACUUUUCCAGUCCAGGCCAGCAUCAGUUUUCGCCGGGGGAUAAAGGCUUCGGGAAUGUGGCUCCCCUCGGGGAGUGUUAUAGCCCGUUGUGUAAUACCCUGGCGGGGACUGAGGUUCGCGCUUCUGCAAGGAUGCUGGCGUAAUGGUCAUCAACGACCCGUCUUGAAACACGGACCAAGGAGUCGUCUUCGUAUGCGAGUGUUCGGGUGUCAAACCCCUACGCGUAAUGAAAGUGAACGCAGGUGAGAGCUUCGGCGCAUCAUCGACCGAUCCUGAUGUUCUCGGAUGGAUUUGAGUAAGAGCAUACGGGGCCGGACCCGAAAGAAGGUGAACUAUGCCUGUGUAGGGUGAAGCCAGAGGAAACUCUGGUGGAGGCUCGCAGCGGUUCUGACGUGCAAAUCGAUCGUCAAACAUGGGCAUGGGGGGCGAAAGACUAAUCGAACCUUCUAGUAGCUGGUUUCCGCG